AUUGAACGCUGGCGGCAGGCCUAACACAUGCAAGUCGAACGAGUGGCGGACGUGUGAGUAAUGUCUGGGAACCUGCCCGAUGGAGGGGGAUAACUACUGGAAACGGUAGCUAAUACCGCAUACCAUCGGAUGUGCCCAGAUGGGAUUAGCUAGUAGGUGGGGUAACGGCUCCCCUAGGCGACGAUCCCUAGCUGGUCUGAGAGGAUGACCAGCGACACCGGAACUGAGAAACGGUCGAGACUCCUACGGGAGGCAGCAGAGGGGAAUAUUGCACAAUGGGCGCAAGCCUGAUGAAGCCAUUCCGCGUGUAUGAAGAAGGCCUUCGGGUUGUAAAGUACGUUCAGCGGGGAGGCGGUACCCGCAGAAGAAGCACCGGCUAACUCCGUGCCAGCCGCCGCGGUAAUAC
rnacentral:rRNA from 1 species